UAGUAGCAUGAAUAUCAUGCAGGAAUCAUUACACUAACCAGAUUAUGUGGCUUUAAGCACUGGAGUGGCUCAACAAGUAAAGGUGUUCACCUUAAGAAUGGACUGAGCUCUGUGGCCCAUAUUCCUGAGUUUAAGUCUGGGUAACAGCAUGCAAGGUAGUGAGAGGUGGCUUUGUGAGAAAGCUAUCAUCUUGGUUCAAAAUUCAGGUCACAGAGUCAAGAUGAUAGCUUGAGCAAAGAUGGAGGCCUGUUAAUUGGGAGAACCUGCAGAAUGAGGUACAGCUGGUCUGAAUGAGUAAUCAGCACUCAGAACUAGUGAGAAUCCACAUCCAGGGAAAGGAGUUGCUAGGAUAGGCUCUGUGUGUAUUUUAAUCAAUUACCUUAGUUAGCGUCUGGGCUACUUAAGAGGCUUACAGGAUCUUUUGAGGAAAUGGGGUUCAGUUUGUGUCUAUGCUCUACUCUGGAAGCUAGGAGAGUGAGACCUCUUGCUAGCAAUUGAUUGAACUGGUAGACUGGUUUGUGACAAUAUACUGUAGGAUAGGAUAUAGGAUUUAGGAUUAAGUUAAGUCUAAGAGUAAGGUUAGCCUUAUGUGUAAAGGGCUUUACUUGUGCUGUACAAGUGUGGCUGUGUGGUAAGUCAAGUGAAGAGAGCUUGAGGAAAAACUAGGAUCCCAGAGGGCUUUAGAAAGGUGGUGUACUGGCAGUGUUGGGGGUUGUGGUGAUUUGUGUCAUGUGCUGCUAAUGGACACAGGCUGAUGUUUCCCCAGCAGUGUCUUGGUCAUCACUGUGCCAGGGCUGGGAUUAUCAGGGCUGGUGUCAAUGGGUCCCUGGCCACUCCUGUAAGACGUUGUGGAGCCUGUGGCAUUGAGGGAUGAGAUGGUUGGCUGAAGAGAAGCUGGGCCCUUGCCAAGAAAAGGGAAGAAGAGCUGACUCAGCAGCUCAGGAAAGAAAUGUCAGAAUUACAGAAGCACCAACACAGGAAAGAAUUCAUCUACCAGACUUUAAUCAACCACAGAGCUUUGCAAAAGGAGGACCAGCACAUUCUUGAAGAAAUGCAAAAGGAAUACAGAAGAUAACUUAACAUAAUGAACAAGAACAAAGGAUAAUGAGCAGAAAGCGAACACUACUUUGGUGGUGUGCAGCAUAUACUGUAUACAGAAAUGAAGACUGGGCUCUGUGGAGGCGUUCUCUUUUACUCUCAGAAAGUGAAGUGCUCAUAGCACUUGUGCGAUACUUUAAUAAUGCAGUGUUAGGUCGUUAUCUCCAAAAGAUGUCAAUACCUAAAGGGCAGUUUUGCUGAUCACAGAAUGUGACAAAAUAUCACGGUGAAGGGUUUAAAUGUCAGAAUGUUUAGGUCUCAUUGUCUUAAUGGACAUUGCAUGAGAAAUACAAACAAAAUGAAUGCAAGCUGAAUGCAUAGUCUUCGAAACUGAAGUCCAGAGAAAUUCACGUAUGCUAACCUGGCCAUAAUACUGAAAACUGUU